rnacentral:rRNA from 1 species
UACGUAGGGUCCAAGCGUUGUCCGGAUUUACUGGGCGUAAAGGGUGCGUAGGCGGUGCGGUAAGUCUGUAGUGAAAUCUCUGGGCUCAACUCAGAGUCUGCUAUAGAAACUGCCGUGCUUGAGUGUGGGAGAGGUGAGUGGAAUUCCCGGUGUAGCGGUGAAUGCGUAGAUAUCGGGAGGAACACCUGUGGCGAAAGCGGCUCACUGGACCACAACUGACGCUGAUGCACGAAAGCUAGGGAGCAAACGGG